CUGGGCUCUUUCUUCACUGAAUACCUCCAGAAUCAGCUGCUGACAAAGGGAAUGGUGAUACUGAGGGACAAAAUGCGUUUCUAUGAAGGUCAGAAGCUAUUGGACUCCUUGGCAGAGACGUGGGACUUCUUCUUCUGUGAUGUUCUGUCCAUGCUUCAGGCUAUCUUCUACCCAG